rnacentral:rRNA from 1 species
AACGCGAAGAACCUUACCUGGGCUCGAAAUAUAGAGGACGACAACAGAGAUGUUGUCUCCCGCAAGGGCUUUUAUAUAGGUGCUGCAUGGCUGUCGUCAGCUCGUGCCGUGAGGUGUUUGGUUAAGUCCAGCAACGAGCGCAACCCUUAUCGUUAGUUGCCAACAUGUAAAGGUGGGAACUCUAACGAGACUGCCUGGGUUAACCAGGAGGAAGGUGAGGAUGACGUCAAGUCCGCAUGGCCUUUAUGUCCAGGGCUACACACGUGCUACAAUGGUCGGUACAGAAGGCUGCGAAACCGUAAGGCGAAGCAAAUCCUGAAAAACCGAUCUCAGUUCAGAUUGUAGUCUGCAACUCGGCUACAUGAAGUUGGAAUUGCUAGUAAUGGCGUGUCAGCAACAACGCCGUGAAUACGUUCCCGGGCCUUGUA